rnacentral:piRNA from 4 species
GCUGGGCCCAUAACCCAGAGGUCGAUGG